rnacentral:rRNA from 1 species
UUUGAUGGCGACCGGCGCACGGGUGAGUAACAUGUAUCCAACCUGCCGAUGACUCGGGGAUAGCCCUUUCGAAAGAAAGAUUAAUACCCGAUGGCAUAGUUCUUCCGCAUGGUAGAACUAUUAAAGAAUUUCGGUCAUCGAUGGGGAUGCGUUCCAUUAGGUUGUUGGCGGGGUAACGGCCCACCAAGCCUUCGAUGGAUAGGGGUUCUGAGAGGAAGGUCCCCCACAUUGGAACUGAGACACGGUCCAAACUCCUACGGGAGGCAGCAUG